UUUGAAAGAUGGCUUUGGCUAUCACUCUGGGAUGGACCUGCGGUGCAUUAGCUAGUUGGUAAGGUAACGGCUUACCAAGGCGAUGAUGCAUAGCCGAGUUGAGAGACUGAUCGGCCACAAUGGAACUGAGACACGGUCCAUACUCCUACGGGAGGCAGCAGUAGGGAAUCUUCCACAAUGGGCGCAAGCCUGAUGGAGCAACACCGCGUGAGUGAAGAAGGGUUUCGGCUCGUAAAGCUCUGUUGUUGGAGAAGAACGUGCGUGAGAGUAACUGUUCACGCAGUGACGGUAUCCAACCAGAAAGUCACGGCUAACUACGUGCCAGCAGCCGCGGUAAUACGUAGGUGGCAAGCGUUAUCCGGAUUUAUUGGGCGUAAAGCGAGCGCAGGCGGUUGCUUAGGUCUGAUGUGAAAGCCUUCGGCUUAACCGAAGAAGUGCAUCGGAAACCGGGCGACUUGAGUGCAGAAGAGGACAGUGGAACUCCAUGUGUAGCGGUGGAAUGCGUAGAUAUAUGGAAGAACACCAGUGGCGAAGGCGGCUGUCUGGUCUGCAACUGACGCUGAGGCUCGAAAGCAUGGGUAGCGAACAGGAUUAGAUACCCUGGUAGUCCAUGCCGUAAACGAUGAGUGCUAGGUGUUGGAGGGUUUCCGCCCUUCAGUGCCGGAGCUAACGCAUUAAGCACUCCGCCUGGGGAGUACGACCGCAAGGUUGAAACUCAAAGGAAUUGACGGGGGCCCGCACAAGCGGUGGAGCAUGUGGUUUAAUUCGAAGCUACGCGAAGAACCUUACCAGGUCUUGACAUCUUGCGCUAACCUUAGAGAUAAGGCGUUCCCUUCGGGGACGCAAUGACAGGUGGUGCAUGGUCGUCGUCAGCUCGUGUCGUGAGAUGUUGGGUUAAGUCCCGCAACGAGCGCAACCCUUGUUACUAGUUGCCAGCAUUAAGUUGGGCACUCUAGUGAGACUGCCGGUGACAAACCGGAGGAAGGUGGGGACGACGUCAGAUCAUCAUGCCCCUUAUGACCUGGGCUACACACGUGCUACAAUGGACGGUACAACGAGUCGCAAACUC
rnacentral:rRNA from 2 species